rnacentral:rRNA from 1 species
UACAGAGGGGGCAAGCGUUAUUCGGAUUCACUGGGCGUAAAGGGUGCGCAGGCGGCCGAGUGUGUGAGGCGUGAAAGCCCGGGGCUUAACCCCGGAAUUGCACCUCAAACUACACGGCUAGAGCAUUGGAGAGGGUAGCAGAAUUCAUGGUGUAGCAGUGAAAUGCGUAGAUAUCAUGAGGAAUACCAGAGGCGAAGGCGGCUACCUGGACAAUUGCUGACGCUCAGGCACGAAAGCGUGGGGAGCAAAAGGG